UUUGGCCGUAAAUUUAACCAACGAGACCAACUGCGGCGGGAACAAAAAUUAUAUCGCUGAAUUAUAUCAAAAAUACGAAUUCAGUAGCAUAGGUUUUGCUCCCGCCACAUUCGGUCUUGUUGGUUAAAUUUACGGUCAAA
rnacentral:pre_miRNA from 1 species